rnacentral:rRNA from 1 species
AACGAACGCUGGCGGCAUGCCUAACACAUGCAAGUCGAACGAGAACUUCGGGUCUAGUGGCGCACGGGUGCGUAAAGCGUGGGAAACUGCCCUUAGGAUCGGAAUUACUCCCCGAAAGGGGUGCUAAUACCGGAUAAUGUCUUCGGACCAAAGCUUUAUCGCCUUUGGUUGGGCCCGCGUUGGAUUAGCUAGUUGGUAGGGUAAAAGCCUACCAAGGCGACGAUCCAUAGCUGGUCUGUGAGGAUGAACAGCCACACUGGGACUGAGACACGGCCCAGACUCCUACGAGAGGCAGCAGUGGGUAAUAUAGGACAAUGGGCGAAAGCCUGAGCCAGCAAGGCCGCGUGAGUGAUGAAGGCCUUAGGGUUGUAAAGCUCUUUUAACCGGGAUGAUAAUGACAGUACCGGGAGAAUAAGCACCGGCUAACUCCGUG